UACGUAGGGUGCAAGCGUUAAUCGGAAUUACUGGGCGUAAAGCGUGCGCAGGCGGUUUUGUAAGUCUGUCGUGAAAUCCCCGGGCUCAACCUGGGAAUUGCGAUGGAGACUGCAAGGCUAGAAUCUGGCAGAGGGGGGUAGAAUUCCACGUGUAGCAGUGAAAUGCGUAGAGAUGUGGAGGAACACCGAUGGCGAAGGCAGCCCCCUGGGUCAAGAUUGACGCUCAUGCACGAAAGGCGUGGGGAGCAAACGAGGAUUAGAGUACCC
rnacentral:rRNA from 1 species